rnacentral:tRNA from 4 species
GGUCCCAUGGUGUAAUGGUUAGCACCCUGGACUUUGAAUCCAGAGAUCCGAGUUCGAGUCUCGGUGGGACCU